GUCGUCGUCCGAAUACUUUUAGUUUUCGCACUCUAACUUUAGUAAAAGUGAAUAGAAAUCAAUGAAAUUUCAACACAAGGUUUAUGACCACAAAAGGAAGGUUGGGAUUAUUUUGGGAGUUUUGGUCCCAAUAUUUUAGGAAUUAGGGGCCAAAAAGGGCCCAAAUAAGCAUUUUCUUGGUUUUCGCACUAUAACUUUAGUUUAAGUAAAUAGAAAUCUAUGAAAUUUUGACAAAAGGUUUAUGACC
rnacentral:lncRNA from 1 species